GAUGUGUGUAUAGGUCUCAGCCUACAGUCUAAUUCCAACUUUGUCUGCACAUUUAACCUGAUUGUUCUUCUCAUCGAGGGGAAAUACGACCGCGUUCAAUCCAAACUGCAGUUUCACAUCUUUCCUCAUUUAAGAUACUAGUUUAAGAAAUGCCUCCCAAAACUAUAAAAAUGGCUUUAGCGGAGAUGCUGGAGGACCUGAAAAAAGAGGACUUUGAAAAGUUUUGCCACAGGCUUGUGGACCGCAGAGAAGAGCCGCACGUCAGACGCAACCGGGUGGAGGGGAAACACUUUUUAGAAGUCGCAGACGUCCUGGUUUCAUCUUUCACAGAGCCCGGAGCUCUUCGGGUAGCUGUGGAGAUAUUGGAAGACAUUGCCUGCUACGAGGACGCGAAGAGACUUGUAAUGGCAACAGGAGGACAGUAGACGUCUCGUUUGGACAGGAAGCACUCGACGUAUCGACACGUGUUCUCAUCCAGGACGUGAACAUCGGUCCACUAUAUGGGAUAAACUGGCCAGCAAGAAUUUUAUCACAAGGGUUAUGUGCAUACACCAACCUAAAAGAAUGAUUGAUGUUUUGUAUUCUUUUUAAUCGCAAUAAACAGCCUUUCUUGGUGUCUUCUC